rnacentral:rRNA from 1 species
AGGCUUAACACAUGCAAGUCGAACGCCCCGCAAGGGGAGUGGCAGACGGGUGAGUAACACGUGGGAACGUCCCCCUCGGUUCGGAAUAACUCAGGGAAACUUGAGCUAAUACCGGAUACGUCCGAGAGGAGAAAGAUUUAUCGCCGAGGGAUCGGCCCGCGUCUGAUUAGCUAGUUGGUGAGGUAAUGGCUCACCAAGGCGACGAUCAGUAGCUGGUCUGAGAGGAUGACCAGCCACACUGGGACUGAGACACGGCCCAG